rnacentral:rRNA from 1 species
UACGUAGGGUGCGAGCGUUAUUCGGAAUUACUGGGCGUAAAGCGUGCGCAGGCGGUUCGUUAAGUUCGUUGUGAAAGCCCCGGGCUCAACCUGGGAACUGCAAUGGAAACUGGCGGGCUUGAGUGUGGCAGAGGGGGGUGGAAUUCCGCGUGUAGCAGUGAAAUGCGUAGAGAUGCGGAGGAACACCGAUGGCGAAGGCAGCCCCCUGGGCCAACACUGACGCUCAGGCACGAAAGCGUGGGGAGCAAACAGG